rnacentral:lncRNA from 1 species
CUUUCAUAACAUUUAAAUAUUAUCAAUAUAUAUUACACAAUCCAAAUACUUUAAUACACAAAGACAUCUUACUACAAGACAUCUUAUUCUUAUAAUUGAAUAAUCUUAACUGCUAUUAUCCAAUCAAAUUUCUUCUACUCGUAGCUGAAUUUAAGGGCUAAAUUUACCAAAUCUAAAAGCUAAAUUUAGAAGGAUUAUUAUUUUUCACUCCAUGAACAUAAGUACUGCAAUCAUGCAUUAUCACGUACAUCUUCUUCAUUCACGGACAGCUUCUUCAUUCGAUAAAUUUGAUGGGUUAGGGAUAUAAGUUGAAGAAGAAACACUUUAAACAUAUUAAUCAUAUCUGCAAACAAAUAAAAGAAAAAGGAAAAGAAAUUGGUUGCCAAAUUCCAACAGUUGCAAAAUAAAUUAACAAGCAAUACAGAGACAAAAGUUAAUAGAAAUAAACAUAUUUUGCUCGAAAACAAAAAAAAAAUUCAUAAGCUAUGAACAGAUCAACUCAAUUAUCUUAAAGGAAAAUUAGAGAAUAAGAAUGUUGUAGCUCAUUUGAUUAGAAAUAAGGUAGAAUAUAUUUAACUAUAGAUAUAAAUUAAAAAAAAAGGUGAUGCUGAAUUCAUUCUCUUAUAUAUAUAUGAAUAAGAGAGAGUGAGAGAGCAAAUUAUAGCAUUCAAAUUUUCAGUAUAACAUCUAGUUUCAAGAAAGUGUAUUUAUUUCUCAUUAUAUAAAAAAUAAUGAUUUUCCAGCUAAAAAAAAUUCAUAAUAAAAUUUAAUAUCUAAUACAACAUAGUAUGUUUUUUUUUUUUCAAAAAAAUGCUUGCAAUUAUGUCUUUUAGCCACCAAGCCUAAGUGUGAGAGUAAAGCAUUUAACUCUUGAUAAUUACACACUUUCUGCAUAAUGCAAUUAGUGUCAACUCAUUCUAAAUUACUCUACUUGAAUAAUAAAACAUUUCAGCCAUUGUAUUGAUGGAGCUACUAAUCCAGAAUAUUCACAAUAAAUAUAGGGUUCAAGGCAAUUAAGAGAUGUACCUCUUAGGGCUAUGCAUAUUCUCUAUCUUUCUAAGGCAAUCUUUAAUUCAUAUAGUUCCACCCCCUUUGAAUUCACAAACCAAGACUUUACAAACAAAGGCCUUAUAUCAUUAAUCUUAAUACAUUUUUACCAAAAAAUCACUAUAUUCAUAAAUAAAAAUCACAAGUUAACGCUUUAACCUCGUGUUGGGCUGUCUUAGUUUUCACAUGGCAGAGGAAUCUACGAUAAUGUGUAUGUUUUCCUGAGAAGAAAAAGGAACAAAAAAUAGGGAAAGGAAGUCAAGACUAAAAAAUAAUUAUUCAAUAAGCUGAAAAAUUAUCAUAUAUCAUGCAUGUUUUACACAAUCCCCUUAUAAAGUUGAAAAAAAAACUACUUUAUUUUACACAAUCAAACGAUUUUAACAGGAAACAUAACUUAGUAGGACAAGAAUGCAGCUAAAUUAUGAAAGCCAUUUUGCUUGCAGAUAUUAAUUAGACAUUUCAGUUUUUCUUAUAUUUUUCACAAUUUGAGCAGCUUUACUUUAAUUUUAUCAGGAAUCGAGUAUGGCGAUGUCACAAAAAGAAAGCAUCAGGGGGUUUGCAACAGACAGCAAAAUCAUUCAAGAAACUAGUGAGUUAGAGAAAAGCACUUGUGCAACAACUGAAGCAGAUCUCAUUGAGCGCCCAUACACACCAGUUCAAACUGGCGAUGAGUUUGCGCCAAAAUUUUUUGAGCAGUAAGGAACCAUAGAAACUCCACAGAAAGCAAAGAUUAACCUCGAAGGAGAGCAACAACCACAAGAAUCAGGGGAAACAAAAACUGAGGAAUCAGCAUUGAUGGACUCAGCUCAGCUUCAUUGACUGACCCCCUUCAGAGCUCCAGAAUUGAAACUACGAAAGUGGCUGAACAAGUCGGCGAAGGGAGAGAACCAAAAGGCAGGACUGAAGAAAAUCAAACCAAAGAACCAGAAGCCAUUCAUGUAGAAGAUGCAAAAAUGGAUGAAGAACAAGACGAAGAUGAACAUAAAAGGAUAGACUCAAGCUCUGAUGCUCCGGUCAUGAUUGAAGCGAAAAGAGGUGCUGUGGAUGUUAGGGUUGCACAACUUGGUCACUGGCAAAGGAUGAGGAACCUAUUUGAAAUAAACUGAAACUAAUGUAUCGUUAUUUACUAAAAAUAAAAAUAUAGGGAACUCAAUGUUAUUCACUCGAUAAUCAAAUAUUUCGAUUUCUCAUAGUUACAUGUCACCUCUCGCAAGUCACAGGACUCGUCGUGACUCGAGUCGCUUCCUUCCCUCUUGCUUGCAGUCUCCGCCCAUUUUUGUAGCACAGAAAAAAAAAAAACUAAUUUUCAUUUUUCAAUUCAAAGUCUGUGACUCUCAUCGAUCCAUAUAACACAACAAAACAACAAAAUUUAACACGGAAAAAAAAAGGAAUGUGUAAGCAAGUAUCCAAGAGAAUAGAAGAAAACCGAGCUUACUGAGUUACUUGGAGCUCCGAGACCUUUCGAAGAUCGAAUUAGCGGAAGAAAACAAAACUUCAGCUAACAAGAAAUCCCGAGAAGUCGAAGCGAGAGGGGCGGUGUGCACUCGAGUAGGGUGAGCAAAAUGUGGAGAUCUAAAGCGGGUCUUGUGAGCUUGUGGCAUAGCGGCAUGGUGGAUGUUUUGCAUAAUGUAGAUCGUUAGGGUUUCGUAUGGUAUGGGUCUUAGAAUUUGAGCAGUGGUGUUAGGAUUUCUUAUGGCAUGGACCCUUGAAUUUUAGGGCUCGAAGUUUUAGAGGUAUGAAGAAGAAGAAGGAUAUCGCCAGAGAGAUGAGGCGGCUGACCAUGGAUUUAGGAGUUAGG